rnacentral:rRNA from 1 species
UACGUAGGGGGCAAGCGUUGUCCGGAAUCAUUGGGCGUAAAGAGCGUGUAGGCGGUCCUGUAAGUCCGCUGUGAAAGUCAAGGGCUCAACCCUUGAAUGCCGGUGGAUACUGCAGGACUAGAGUCCGGAAGAGGCGAGUGGAAUUCCUGGUGUAGCGGUGAAAUGCGCAGAUAAUCAGGAGGAACACCGAUGGCGAAGGCAGCUCGCUGGGACGGUACUGACGCUGAGACGCGAAAGCGUGGGGAGCAAACAGG